rnacentral:rRNA from 1 species
CAAUACUCCCGCCGGCGACCGGCGCACGGGUGAGUAACACGUAUGAAACCUGCCCGUAGCAGGGGGAUAAGCGGAAGAAAUUCCGUCUAAUACCGCGUAACAACCCGAGGAGGCAUCUCCUCGGGUUUUAAAGGAAGCGAUUCCGGCUACGGAUGGUCAUGCGUCGCAUUAGCUAGUUGGCGGGGUAACGGCCCACCAAGGCGACGAUGCGUAGGGGUUCUGAGAGGAAGGUCCCCCACACUGGUACUGAGACACGGACCAGACUCCUACGGAAGGCAGCAG